rnacentral:rRNA from 1 species
CCAGACCUGCAUUCGAUACGGGCGAGCUUGAGUAUGGUAGGGGAGUCUGGAAUUCCUGGUGUAGCGGUGGAAUGCGCAGAUAUCAGGAGGAACACCAAUGGCGAAGGCAGGACUCUGGGCCAUUACUGACACUGAGGAGCGAAAGCGUGGGGAGCGAACAGGAUUAGAUACCCUGGUAGUCCACGCCGUAAACGGUGGGCACUAGUUGUGGGGACCUUCCACGGUCUCUGCGACGCAGCUAACGCAUUAAGUGCCCCGCCUGGGGAGUACGAUCGCAAGAUUAAAACUCAAAGGAAUUGACGGGGCCCCGCACAAGCAGCGGAGCAUGCGGCUUAAUUCGACGCAACGCGAAGAACCUUACCAAGGCUUGACAUAUACAGGAAUAUGGCAGAGAUGUCAUAGCCGCAAGGUCUGUAUACAGGUGGUGCAUGGUUGUCGUCAGCUCGUGUCGUGAGAUGUUGGGUUAAGUCCCGCAACGAGCGCAACCCUCGUUCUGUGUUGCCAGCAUUAAGUUGGGGACUCACAGGAGACUGCCGGGGUUAACUCGGGAGGAAGGUGGGGAUGACGUUAAAUCAUCAUGC